rnacentral:misc_RNA from 1 species
UCAACGCAUAUGUCCCAUGUUGUACAAUACCACGUGACAUUUUUGUCAUUAAUUUCACAAUAAAAACGUGCACAUUGACUAAAUUCAGAUUUCUUAAAGUUUGCAAGUCUAAAAAUUGUUAUUAUUAGAAAAAAAAAAUCACCCAGUAGCAUAGAUAGUUACAAAGCUAUAAAUUUUGUAACCACAUUGACAGUACGCUAUAAAAUAAUAAAUUAUUUCGGUGUUUUAUGAUAUAAUUAUGUAAUAAUUUAUAUGGCGAGAGUAAAUCAUUUAAUGGUCUUUUUGUGUUCAUUAUUUGUUACAUUCUGUUUGAAUAGAUACCACCGUAACAGGUAUGAACAGGAUUUUUAAUCAAGACGAGUUAUGAUUGCGAAGAUUCACCAAGAAUUAAGAUGUUGACUGAACAUCUUUUAAAAAUGGUUCGGCAAUCAAUGGAUUACUGCCAUGUCGAACCAUUAGAGAUGUCACACCCUGCAGAGUAAACCGCUUAUCGUAAAAUUGAAGAACGCGAGCAGCAUAAGUGGUAUAAGUGAAGUUGAGGUGUACCCACGCGUGCACACUUCCCGCUGGCAUUUUAUGUUUUGAUGGCGCAAUAAACCGGCGUAAAGCAGCAAUAAAACGCAUCGAAUCACAAAUCCGCUCGGCCGAUGCCGUUAAGUGGCCUGACACUCGCAGAACUGUUAUCUGACGAAUCUUCAAUUCUACCUUCCCAAGAUAUGUCACGUGUCAUUCAAAUACACUUGAAAAAAAUCACCAAGUCGCGAUCGAUUGGAUGAGC